rnacentral:misc_RNA from 1 species
AUUUGAUCAUCAUUGCCCUUGGGUCUCAAAUUGUGUGGGGAAGAGGAAUAAGCGGGACUUUUUCAUUUUCCUUUGUAUGGGUUCAUUGACAUCUAUAAUUGGUGCUGCGAUUGCUCUUCAAAGAAUUUGGACAUCAGUACCAUUGUUGGUAGCUGAUGAAUCGUGGUUACAUCAUGUUUUCUUUGCGUAUCCUGGUAUAAUCGCUUUUCUGUUCAUGGAUGGGGUUAUUCUAAUUGCUUCUGUAACUCUCUGUGUAAUACAGAUAUCCCAGAUAGCUCGGAAUCUCACAACAAAUGAGAUGGCAAAUGCUGUGAGAUAUGGUUAUCUUCGUGGUCCAGAUGGGAGGUUCCGAAAUCCCUAUAACCAUGGAUGUCGGAAGAAUUGCUCUGACUUCCUUAUCAAUGGUUACACAAAUGAUGAUGAGAUAGCAUGGCCACCAUUGCAGCAUGCCGCGAGCUAGCAGCAUUUACAAUCCCUGCUUGCUAAAGGAUGCAUAUGUUACCAGACCCCUCUAGGUGACCUCUUCAGUGUUUGUGAAGG